GACGAGCGCUGGCGGCGUGCUUAACACAUGCAAGUCGAACGGAAAGGCCCUGCUUUUGUGGGGUGCUCGAGUGGCGAACGGGUGAGUAACACGUAAGUAACCUGCCCUUGACUUUGGGAUAACUUCAGGAAACUGGGGCUAAUACCGGAUAGGAGCUCCUGCUGCAUGGUGGGGGUUGGAAAGUUUCGGCGGUUGGGGAUGGACUCGCGGCUUAUCAGCUUGUUGGUGGGGUAGUGGCUUACCAAGGCUUUGACGGGUAGCCGGCCUGAGAGGGUGACCGGCCACAUUGGGACUGAGAUACGGCCCAGACUCCUACGGGAGGCAGCAGUGGGGAAUAUUGCACAAUGGGCGGAAGCCUGAUGCAGCAACGCCGCGUGCGGGAUGACGGCCUUCGGGUUGUAAACCGCUUUCGCCUGUGACGAAGCGUGAGUGACGGUAAUGGGUAAAGAAGCACCGGCUAACUACGUG
rnacentral:rRNA from 1 species